UCUCCUUUAUCUUAUAAUGAUUAGAAAUUUGUCUGAACAAAUUGAGUUUGGUCUUUCUGAUUAUUUUGGUAUCAAGAUAAGGGCAUUCUCCCUUGAAACGUAAGAUCGGCAUUCCUGUGUGUUUCAAUUAUUUGUCUUUGCACUUGGUACAAGCUAUAUCAUCCCUAUAAUUUAAUUUAAUGAGGUCCAAAGACUAUGAAACAACAGAGAUGCUGCUUCCACUGGACCAACAAUAACUUGUAUAAUAGAUACUCAAGGGACACAGCAGCAUAAUCUUGCAUUCAACUCGAUUACGUGGCGGGGGCUCUAACAGCACUCUCUCGACUUCGCUAAAAAAGUGUUGCUCCUUGCUGCUUCAAUUGUUUUUUCCUAACAAAGCUUCUAAUAGAGCUGCUGAUCUCCAACCACCGCCCCCCCAAGCGGUUCAACUUUUGGUGCACUUAUGUGGCUAAUCUCUUCCGAUGCUUCUUUCUUUGGACCAGCAAUAUUCAAGCUUGUGUAAUGGAUUCAAUGGUAGGUGUUCUCUCAAGGUUCCCUACUUGAACACUGUGCGGUAGUACUACCUUAAGUGUCUCAACUCAAACUCUUCAGGCUGGUACUGGAAUUCUCAGGAGAAUUGCUAAACUUUUUGACCAACCAUCCAAUAGUUCGUGCAAAGAUAAACCUAAGAAGUUUCAGUUUGCCCCUCUUAAGAGUUCUCCUUCAGCACUAGCAAAACUGGGUUGAGUAUCCCCGCUUGGGGGAGCUUCAAUAGAAGCUCUUGCUUUCCUUGAAACUUAGAUGAUAACCAGAGAUGCCAAAAGCACUAAAGCUGGAGAAACUCCAGUGAUAACUGUGUUAUACUGUCCAAUUUCUGGACUUCAUUCGCAGACUCUAUUUCAAUGCCAAAACUGCUGGUUUCAAAUCCUGUGUCACGAUCUUCCAACCUCCAGUUAGUUUCUUCUGGUCUUUUUAAUUGUGUCUUCUCUAGUUUGUCUUCUCCAUUGCUUCCUGUGAGAUUUUCUGGACCUGCUCAACCUUGGUAGUCAGUCUCCCCUUGAUCAAAUCUGUAGCUUGAAUGAGCACCCAUCUCGUUUGCAGAAAUGCGUGAAAUCUCAUCAAGCAAUGAAUCAAGGAUGGAUGGUCUCUGGUUUUCUUGAUUAGGACCUUCUUAUCAAGAGGUUGAACCCUCUGGAUCUGCUCAUUAGGACCUUCAAUUUUUUCCUCGUCUACUUCAUUGGAACUGGUAACUUCACUAACGGCUUUUCACAUGGUUUCCUCUUCAUCAUCGUGUACACUUGGAGUAACUUCAACCUCGGUGCCAUCUUUUUCAAUAUAAAUAUCUGAACUCUGGCCCUUCUGUGGGUUAGUUGUUUACUCCAUUUCAGCUGUUUCCACCUUGAAGAACCCCAUGUUGUCUUACC